rnacentral:rRNA from 1 species
AUGAACGCUGGCGGCGUGCCUAAUACCUGCAAGUCGAGCGCACAGAUGAGGAGCUUGCUCCUCUGACGUUAGCGGCGGACGGGUGGGUAACACGUGGAUAACCUACCUAUAAGACUGGGAUAACUUCGGGAAACCGGAGCUAAUACCGGAUAAUAUAUUGAACCGCAUGGUUCAAUAGUGAAAGACGGUUUUGCUGUCACUUAUAGAUGGAUCCGCGCCGCAUUAGCUAGUUGGUAAGGUAACGGCUUACCAAGGCAACGAUGCGUAGCCGACCUGAGAGGGUGAUCGGCCACACUGGAACUGAGACACGGUCCAGACUCCUACGGGAGGCAGCAGUAGGGAAUCUUCCGCAAUGGGCGAAAGCCUGACGGAGCAACGCCGCGUGAGUGAUGAAGGUCUUCGGAUCGUAAAACUCUGUUAUUAGGGAAGAACAAAUGUGUAAGUAACUAUGCACGUCUUGACGGUACCUAAUCAGAAAGCCACGGCUAACUACGUG